UACGAAGGGGGCUAGCGUUGCUCGGAAUCACUGGGCGUAAAGCGCACGUAGGCGGACUCUUAAGUCGGGGGUGAAAUCCUGGAGCUCAACUCCAGAACUGCCUUUGAUACUGAAGAUCUUGAGUUCGGGAGAGGUGAGUGGAACUGCGAGUGUAGAGGUGAAAUUCGUAGAUAUUCGCAAAGAACACCAGUGGCGAAGGCGGCUCAACUGGCCCGAUACGUGACGCUGAG
rnacentral:rRNA from 1 species